GUUCAUGCAACACAGGCGGAGGAGAAGGAAGAGGAGGAGGAGAAGAAGUUCAAAUUAAGUAGCAUGCAUGUGGGAGGCUUCAAGGUGAGGAGUGGCACAAAAAAGAAUUCAUGGGACAGUGAGAGACAGAGGCUAACUGCAAUGCAAUGGUUGGUCUCAUAUGGCUUUGGAAAGGCAGCAAAGAAAGGGAAGCAAGCAUUGCAAAAGGGGCAAGACCUGUUAUGGACUAUUUCCUCCCGAAUUGUGGCUGACAUGUGGCUUAAAACCAUGAGAAAUCCAGAUAUCAAGCUUCUAAAGUGAUGAUGAUUCGUUUGUGCAGAUUUAAGUAUGAGCAUAAGCACUGUGUAUAUGUCUAUGCCAUGUCAAAUAUUUCAUUGAUAGAGGGAUAUAUUACAUUUUCUUUUCUUUUCUGCUUCUUUCUCAGUUCAUGUUUGUUAUUACUUUGGUUGGAUCAGACAUAAGUGCAAAAGCAUACCUUUUUUACAAAAACCUUUUGUAUACAUACGUGGUUGUGGCAAUACAGAAUGUUGAGAAGUUACUUACAUGAGAUUAUUUUAUCUAUGCUUUAUUGAUAUAAUAUUUUAAUGUUUGCACGAAUUAUGAAGUUACAAUAAUUGCAUUAACACAAUGAGAAUUGUGUUGUUAAGGGCAGGGUAUAUAAACAUGUUGCCUGAAAAAAUUGAAAAGAAAAAAAAGCAAGCGAAUUAAAUAAGUCAACCAAUAAAGACUGUGUUUUCUUACACAAGUGGCAAUUUAUGUAUCAUGAGUUUUAUGUGAACAAGUAUAUAUACAGCAUAAGUAUAAAUAAGUUUCACUGAACCAUGCAUUGGAGGUCACCAUGGCUCUUCAUCCGUUAGUUGCAGGGAUCCAGCUUGUGUUGUGAAAACGGGGCGGAUUUUCCAAACCGGGUUCCUUUUAGUGGCUUUAGGCCCAGACCAAAAAAAAAAAAAAAAACUAACUACUCGCUAUCCACUCUCGAGCGGGACAUAGAGCACAUAUGCUGGUUCAAUCUAGAAGCAUCUUUUAUAUCAGAUAAAACCCAACCAACCUCCCUCUCUCCUAAUCCUAAUCGUCUUAGGGUUUUUAUCAUCUUUUCAUUCACUGCCUUCGCACUCUCGCACUCACUCUUCCUUCUUCCACGAAGGUAAUUGUGAAUUGGAUAAUGAUAAUAAUAAUAAUAAUAACCUCAUCAAUUUCUUAUCAAAUCUGUUUUGCUCUGCAGUGCAAUGGCGACAGCUCAGCUAACAGCAUCCUCAAUUUCCUCGAGGAACGUGUCGUCGUUCGAAGGGCUUCGACCUUCGGCAGUUCAGUUCCCCUCCGUCGUCAGAAUUGGAACCCUCACUCAAAGGUCCUUCCGGGGUUUGGUUGUGAAAGCCGCAACUGUUGUUGCUCCAAAGGUUCAUUUUUUACUUCAAAGUUUCUGUUUAUAAUUAUUAUUAGGAUAGAGAAAUUUGUUGUAAUUCGGUUAAAACAGUACUAUAAUUGUGCAAUAGUUUUUGUUUAAUUACUGUGUAUGUUGGGAAUAUUGUAGAAGUUUGAUAUUGUCAGUAGCAUUUUAGAAGAUUAGAAGAUGGAAUUAAACACUUGUUUUUCAGGGUUUGACUUAGUAUAUGCAGUGCGAGCACAAUUUAUUUGCUUAAAAUACAUAAGUAUAGUACAAAGCUUGUUGAAGAAUGCAAAUAGUCCUGAAUCAAAACAGCUUCAGGGACCAGCAUUUUUUUAUUUUAGGUAUUCUGGUCAGGAUUAAAGUUUNNNNNNNNNNNNNNNNNNNNNNNNNNNNNNUUUUUUUUUUUUUUUUCACUUAAUGUCUUAUUUCUUUUCCGCUGUUGUCAAUUGAAGUUGGAUUAUUCUACCAAAUUACUACAUGAUUGUCGGAUAAUUAUUGAUAUGUAAGCCUGGAGAUUUUUAUUACAAAAUUUUGGAGUACUCAAUGUAUGGGUUUUGUAACCCAUUCCUGUAAUGUCCCUGAGUGAGUGUUUCUCUUGCAGUACACUGCUAUUAGGCCUCUUGGCGACAGAGUACUGGUUAAAAUUAAGGAAGCAGAAGAGAAGACGGACGGAGGAAUUCUACUUCCUUCAACUGCUCAAACAAAGCCACAGGGUGGUGAAGUUGUUGCUGUUGGAGAGGGGAAAUCUGUUGGGAAGAGCAAAAUAGAGAUUAGUGUGCAGGUAUAGCUGAUCUCUUAGAAUCAAUUAGCUUUUUAGUUAUUUAUCUUUUUCUUUUCUAUUCUUUUUCGAGGCAGUGUGAUUUUCUUGCCAAUCUUAACUUAUUUGAUGCUUUCCUUUGUACAGACUGGUGCACAAGUUGUGUAUUCGAAGUAUGCUGGUACUGAGGUGGAGUUCAAUGGGGCAAAGCAUCUUAUACUGAAGGACGAUGACAUUGUUGGUAUCCUCGAGACCGAAGAGAUCAAGGAUCUUAAACCGUUGAAUGAUAGAGUCUUAAUACAGGUUUGAUCCUAUCUUAGUUAGAGAGCAGGAUUUGAUCAUUUGACAAUCAUAUAUAUUUUGUAUUUCUGCAAUCCUUAUUGUUUAUACUUUGGAUUGACAUUUAUUAUCCAAAAGUGUAGCCUUGUAAGGCACCUGAUAGUUAUAACAAUAUCUAAACCUUUCUAUUGGUUCAUUUCUGACUGCAGGUUGCACAAGCAGAGGACAAAACUGCAGGUGGUUUGUUGCUUACCGAAGCAACCAAGGAGAAACCUUCGAUCGGAACGGUAAGUUUUUUUAAUUACUCUCUUCUUUGUAAAGGUAGUAUACUUUACCCAAUAACUCUAAUGAAUACGAUUGCUUUGAGGCCUGUUUGGUACCCUGAAAAUGAGUAUAAUUUAUUAAGAAAAUCUUGAAUAUAGAGAUGACACUAAAAAAAACAAAAAGCAAACAGAGAUUUUUUUCAUUGGCCCCUUAUUUAGUGUGUUAAACAAUAAUUUUGACUGAACAAAAUCUGUUGUAAUGUGUUGAAUGUUGUUAGGUGAUUGCGGUGGGCCCAGGGCCUCUUGAUGAGGAAGGUAACAGGAAACCGUUGUCUGUUAAUCCUGGGAACACAGUGUUGUACUCCAAAUAUGCUGGGAACGACUUCAAGGGAAAAGAUGGUUCGGACUACAUUGCAUUGAGGGUCUCAGAUAUCAUGGCUGUCCUUUCCUAGUAGUAACAAGUUGUUCUCUGUUUUGUAACUUCAAAAUUUUGUGCUCUUGAGGAAAAUGGAUUAUUUUUUAUCUACGAUGACAACUGAAACAUAGCUCAUUGCAAUUAUCUUAGAAAAUCUACAAACUUCUGGUGAUGUCAAUUGUUUUCCAGUUGUCUGUAAUUUCCACCUCACCUCAAAUUUUCCAAAAGCAUGUAGGGAAUCUUUUAGGGAAUUUUAAAAUCAUUGUGAUCAAUGGUAGAUUAAAUAGAGAACAGUAUAAUAUCUAGAUUCGAGAAAUUACAAGGUGUUCAUUUAAUUUCGGGCCUAAAAAGUUUAGCCUUCAUCGACGUUAUGCACACUCUAGGUAUGGUUCAGCAUGCACUAUGCUAAUUUAAUGGGUUUAAUUUGAAUUACACCAAUUUCAACAUUCCUUAUGGCAAUAUAUUUUCUUUGCCCUCUACCUCCACCUUCCCCUCCUUUCCUGUGCUCCCGUUUGGAUGCAAUACCGCACCUUACUACUCAGGUGAUCUGCUGUCUAUCGUAGGCAAAGUGAUUUUCAAUCUUAACUCUGCAUGAUGAUGGAUGUCAUCGUUGCAGCUGGCCACUUCUUCGCCCCCAAUUUCCACGUCUAGCUGGGCAAGAGGAUAAAACAACUCUGGAUUUUGGACAAGGCUUCAAGUACCUUUCACCAUGUAAUCAGAACCAUUAAUGUGGUACUUAUUAGCAUGAAAAGAUGUUAGGCUUCUGCUUCUUCACUUGAGGAUUGGAUCAAAGAUAAUGCUAGUUCUGAGAAUGAAGCAGAAAAGGCCACACUGAUGCUGGUUAUCCAAUUGAGGGAUCCGCUGAGACGCUAUGAAGCAGUUGGAGGGCCUAUGUUAGUAGUUGUUCAUGCAACACAGGCGGAGGAGAAGGAAGGGGAGGAAGAGAAGUAGUUCAAAUUAAGCAGCAUGCAUGUGGGAGGCUUCAAGGUGAGGAGUGGCACAAACAGGAAUUCAUGGGACAAUGAGAGACAGAGGCUAACUGCAAUGCAAUGGUUGGUCUCAUAUGGCUUUGGAAAGGCAGCAAAGAAAGGGAAGCAAGCAUUGCAAAAGGGGCAAGACCUGUU
rnacentral:lncRNA from 1 species